CAGUUUCAAUUUGCUGAGGGCUGAUAAAAUGAAUAUGGGUAUCAAUUCCACCAGCAGUAACAAUUAAAUUUUCACCACCGUGAGCUUCUGUACUCGCACCUAUAAUCAUGUGAGGUUCAACACCAUCCAUUGUAUCUGGAUUACCAGCUUUACCAAUUCCUGCUAUUUUACCAUCUUUAAUACCAAUAUCUGCUUUUACAAUACCCCAGUGGUCAAUAAUAGUAGCAUUGGUAAUUACAAGAUCUAAAACUCCCUGAUCGCGCGUAGCAGUACUAGACUGAGCCAUACCGUCUCUG
rnacentral:sRNA from 1 species